GACGAACGCUGGCGGCGUGCCUAAUACAUGCAAGUCGAGCGAAGUUUUUCUGGUGCUUGCACCGGAAAAACUUAGCGGCGAACGGGUGAGUAACACGUAAAGAACCUGCCUCAUAGACUGGGACAACUAUUGGAAACGAUAGCUAAUACCGGAUAACAGCAUUAACUGCAUGGUUGAUGUUUAAAAGUUGGUUUUGCUAACACUAUGAGAUGGCUUUGCGGUGCAUUAGCUAGUUGGUGGGGUAAAGGCCUACCAAGGCGACGAUGCAUAGCCGACCUGAGAGGGUGAUCGGCCACACUGGGACUGAGCCACGGCCCAGACUCCUACGGGAGGCAGCAGUAGGGAAUCUUCCGCAAUGGGCGAAAGCCUGACGGAGCAACGCCGCGUGAGUGAAGAAGGACUUCGGUUCGUAAAGCUCUGUUGUUAGGGAAGAAUGAUUGUGUAGUAACUAUACACAGUAGAGACGGUACCUAACCAGAAAGCCACGGCUAACUACGUG
rnacentral:rRNA from 1 species